rnacentral:lncRNA from 1 species
UUGGAGAUCGCUGUCAGACUAAAUUCUGGUCUAAUUCCUACUGUGGGGAUUGUCCCUUAAAAACUUCUUUCCCUGUUUUGUUUGUAUUGCUAUUUCUUAUGCAAAGUGGCGAACUUUGGGAUGGGUUGGGCACUUAGGGCCAUUGGUCUGAGCUUGGUUCAUUCUUUUCUUCAGUUGACAGAUCACAGCGAUAAGUUGACUUGGAGGUUAGCCAAAAAUGGUAAAUUCUCAGUCAAAUCCUUCUAUAACUUCCUAAGGCUGAGAGAGCAAGGUAGUUUCCCCCCUAAACAGAUAUGGAUACCAAUGGUGCCUUAAAAAGUUUACUCUUUUGCUUUAGUGAUAGCUUGGGAGAAAAUUCUCACUUGGAUCGGCUCAAGAAAAUGGAUUGGCCUUUAGCUCGCCUGUGCUUCAUCUGUAAAACAGAAGUAGAGUCAACUAACUAUAUCCUUAUUCGUUGAGGUUUGGCUUGUAGUUUGAAGACAUUGAUGUUUGCUUUGAUGCAGGAAAUUUUGGGGGAGAGGUAGUCAGAGGUUGUGGAGAGUUGUUCCUCUGUGUGUGAUGUGGCCCAUUUGGAGAGACCAUACUAGAAGUUGCUUUUAGGGACUGGAGUGGUUGGAGGUGUUCGCAAAGGCUUUGUAAAUACUUUGUAUUCUUGGACAACUUUUGAUUUGGAUUGUAAUUUGAGCUUCUUGUUUGAUUUCUUAGAUACUCUAGGAAGGGGCUAUGGCACCAGGUUUUGCUGCCUUUGGUGCAUUCC